CGAAUUUUGCCAUGGCGAGUUUAUAGCCACAAACUAGAGUUCAACACGUGAUGAUGUUGAUACCGAUUUUAGCUUGAUGCUAUUAAUAUUAUUUGGAUUAAACUUGUCUGUGAGCAAGCACAAAAUAACACCAGCUGGAAGAUUAAAAGUCAGAUCGGGUCUCUGUACAGAAGAUGUCAAGAAAUAUAUCCUGUCAAUAAUACCCGCAAGGGGAGUUAGACAGUAUAGAUAGAUAGAUAGAUAGAUGUAUGACCUUCUUGAGAAGAAGUUUGCUAAGUUAUUAAUAACACACCACCAGAAAGCACUAAGCAACUUGCUAAAUGCAUGUGAUAUAUUAAGAGGAUGAAAUGGAACACUGUGCAAAAGCAACUAUUCCUGUCUAUCCCACUUGCAGAUGUAACAAUGCAAGUUGCCAACCAAUAUGGGACUAAUAAAAGCUCAUAUUACAGCUUUAUCAGCUUUACAUAUCUAAAGUGGACAUUGCAUAACCACAUUAUAUAUCAGACAAAGGAUGCAAGUUUCUGAAAUGAUGUUGGAUGAAAGGCAAAGAAUAUCAUAGAAUGUUUUAAAAAGCAUUACAAGUACAUUUGUAUGUACAUGUAUAUGUGCCCACAUACACUUACUAUAGGCCUAUGCAAAGCAAAGAAAUUGCAACAAAAUGGUUGAAAAUUAGGGUUUUUUCGUCACGAAAAAGAAUUUUAAAGUCACUGCUCACAUAAGGUUUCCUGGUCUUCCCCAGAUGGUAUCCAUGUUUUCCCAACAUGGUCAUUUAAAACGCAAAUUUCUGCACAAGAAAUAGUUUUCUGGAGAAACCCUUCUGAGAGGUUAUGGCAGACAUGUGAAAGUAUGUAUAAAUCCUUUAAUUAUUGUAGCGGCUUGCAAAUUAAAGCAGUUGUUCUCCCCUAAAUGUCUGAACAUGGCCCGUUUUGCAUGAUCUUCUACUAAAGGGAGCCACAUUUCGCUCAUUUUUUAAGAAAAUUUGUCAGGAUUUUUCUUCAUGUAGGCCAAUACCUUUGUUAUCAAUGUUAAUACACAGUUGUUUCAAAUUCGACUUUGAAAAUGUUAUUUUUUCUAAUUUUCUUUCCCUAUGUAAGUUCAUGCCAAAAUACACAGCACUGUCCCCUAUGGUAUUACACGGCUCACAAGGUAUCGGGUUUCGUGGGGUGAAGAUGGAACCAGAGUCUAUGAAAACACGAAGGAGCUGUCAUUACGCACAGCGUUUAAGGGAAAUCCGUGGUGGAUUCUGUUUACGUUUUGUGCAAUAUUAAUAGUUGUUCUAAUAAGGCUGAAAGGUGUUGGAUUUAAAAUGAACCGUCUUAAUUUGGUUUGAGUGGCUGUUGUACAUGUAUUUGUGUCAGUGCCGGCACUUUUAUUGUUUUCUUGUUUCUCGGUCGAACUCAUAAUUUACAUUAUUGUAUAGCUUUAGGAUUUUAAAACAGUUAUUCUAAUUAUUCGUAUACAACGUUUGAUAAUAGAAAUUGUAAUGAAACACACGUCAAUUUUGAAAAUAACAUUUCCAAACAUAAAAUAUGCAAGGGGUGUUACUGUGUGUUUCACUUAUUCGUAUGGUCUCCCCUAAGUUGGCUGUGAUCUUUUUUCACCCAUGGUUGUCAACCUACGCCUAUUCUGUAGGAAUUGAUUAUUCUGUUCCCGUCGUACAAUAAUACAAAGUGACAGGGGCAGGUAAUCCAGACUAGGAAUUGAUAUGCUUGACAAAUUAAUACGGUAAAAAGUCGAUAAUAUUAAUUAGAUCGUAUACUUAGAUAUUGAUGGACUGUUUAAAGAUCGAUGGGUCGAUAUCGGCAUUGAUCAUAAAAUGAAAUAAAAAAACAAAUAACACAUUUCCUAUAUCCAAAGAUCUAUCAAUAAACAUUAUUGAUAGAUCUUUGCUAUUUCUAAACAGCAUUGAUUACACAAAUGUGGACGAGCACCACUCGCGACUCGGCUGAAUUACCCACCCUGGAUACGCAGACGAUAUAAGUAUUGAUUAUACAGUAGUUACGGGCUAAAGAAAGUAUGUUUGGUACUUUAUUAUGGAAACUGCUGCAUGAUAUCGACGUGAACGUUAACUUCGAAGAGCAAAUGAUUGGAGGAAUUUGUGCAACACGUGGAAACUCGUAUUUUCUCGUCAACGAAGUUUCCACAUCACUGGAUUUAUUUUAUUCGCUCUGAGCAAUAGAAUUUAUUAUCAACAGCUAAGAUGGAGACAAGAACAUGUAGCCAGAUUGGGGGAGAUCUUAUUCCCGAAGGAAGCAGAGUUGUUUUCGACUGGGACAACACCCUUAAAGUAUACAAUAAAGAGACACGUACGAUCACGUCGCGAGUUGCCAAGAAAGAUUUGAAGAAUUGGAAAGAAAACCGGAAGUGUGAGUUGUUCGUAAUCAGUGCAAUACAUCCAACGAGACUAAAUUUGGAAACUCUUCUUAUAGAGGUAGAAAAACUCGGCUUGACAGAUAUUUUCAUUAAGGAAACAGAUUCUGCCGAAAUAUAUCCUGGGAAAUACGCGAGAAAGGGGAACGUUAUAAUAUGUGGUUAUGAUAAGGCGGAGGUUUUUCUGGAUAUAUGUAGUCGGCUCGAAACCAGUGAAGUACGAAACGACAACGUCGAAACGGACCCAGGUCAGUACGGCACAGGCGAAGACGAACCGGACGCAGUUCAUGAUGGGCUAGACGAAUCGGUUAGAAUUGAUGGCGUGGAUCAAAAACGGACGGUGCUAUUUUUCGAUGAUGAAGAAGUUAAUAUAUCAAAUUUUAGUGCAAUAGUAGAAGGAAGCAUUUGUUAUCUCGUUAAAUGAACAGAACUGUUGUUCGCGAACGUCCUGAUGUAUAUGUUAAAAAGUUAUUAUAAUGGUGCGAUGUUGUAAGACGAUCUAUAUUACCUUAUUAAUCACGAUAUUUUGUUUAGAUUUUAAUAUUGAAUAAUCCCUCCAUAGUAUGCGUACUUGUUUGCUGUUCUCAUUAUUUAUAAUUUUGAUAACCGUUUAAACUAUAUUAUAAUCCGAGACAUCUACACAUAACAAAACGUAUAACCACCCAUUUCAUAUGAUUUAAUAUGCGAAAUAUAUUCAUUGUUUUGAAAAUACGCUUGCACAUGUUUGUAUACAUUUCAUACAGGCUGUUUUUCAUAUAACCUUACAAUUGAGACUACAUUUAUCCAGCCAAUCAUUCGUAAAGAAUUGUUCGAUCACGUUUAUGCGAAAUAAAACAAAAAAUCGCAGAGUCAA